rnacentral:rRNA from 1 species
GAUGAACGCUGGCGGCGUGCCUAAUACAUGCAAGUCGAGCGAACAGACGAGGAGCUUGCUCCUCUGACGUUAGCGGCGGACGGGUGAGUAACACGUGGAUAACCUACCUAUAAGACUGGGAUAACUUCGGGAAACCGGAGCUAAUACCGGAUAAUAUAUUGAACCGCAUGGUUCAAUAGUGAAAGACGGUUUUGCUGUCACUUAUAGAUGGAUCCGCGCCGCAUCAGCUAGUUGGUAAGGUAACGGCUUACCAAGGCGACGAUGCGUAGCCGACCUGAGAGGGUGAUCGGCCACACUGGAACUGAGACACGGUCCAGACUCCUACGGGAGGCAGCAGUAGGGAAUCUUCCGCAAAGGGCGAAAGCCUGACGGAGCAACGCCGCGUGAGUGAUGAAGGUCUUCGGAUCGUAAAACUCUGUUAUUAGGGAAGAACAAAUGUGUAAGUAACUAUGCACGUCUUGACGGUACCUAAUCAGAAAGCCACGGCUAACUACGUG